rnacentral:misc_RNA from 1 species
UGUGGGAGCGGGCUUGCUCGCGAUGCAGACGCUGCGGUUUGUCUGAUUCACCACAGCGAUGCCAUCGCGAGCGAGCCCGCUCCCACA